GGCACUUAACCUUAAGAUCAAAGCUCUCUUCCUUUUCUGUUCUUGUAAAACUAAGUACAAAGAUUUUGAAGUAUAUGUUCCUGAAUGCUAUGUAACACAACUUUAGGGCAUUCAACUUCUCGAAGCCAGACAUGAUUGGAGCAGGGGGCUUAUCUGUGUUAUUAGUUUUAAAUUCUUAUUGGAAGUAGAUGCAUGUAAAAAAAUAAUUCAGCUACUAGUUUCACAUAGCAG
rnacentral:lncRNA from 1 species